rnacentral:rRNA from 1 species
CCUACGGGAGGCUGCAGUGAGGAAUAUUGGUCAAUGGGCGCGAGCCUGAACCAGCCAAGCCGCGUGAAGGAUGACUGCACUACGGGUUGUAAACUUCUUUUAUAAGGGAAUAAAGUGAGGCACGCGUGCCUGUUUGUAUGUACUUGAUGAAUAAGGAUCGGCUAACUCCGUGCCAGCAGCCGCGGUAAUACGGAGGAUCCGAGCGUUAUCCGGAUUUAUUGGGUUUAAAGGGUGCGUAGGUGGGUUGUUAAGUCAGUUGUGAAAGUGUGCGGCUCAACCGUAGAAUUGCAGUUGAUACUGGCAGUCUGGAGUACAGUAGAGGUAGGCGGAAUGCGUGGUGUAGCGGUGAAAUGCUUAGAUAUCACGAAGAACUCCGAUUGCGAAGGCAGCUUACUAGACUGCCACUGACAUUGAGGCACGAAAGUGUGGGUAUCGAACAGGAUUAGAUACCCUUGUAGUC